UUUCUACUCCCUUCAUUCGGAAAUACUUGUCGGGGGAAUGAAUGUAUCUAGAUGUAUUUUAGUUUUAGAUGCAUCCACUUUUAUCUAUUUCUCCGAUGAGUAAUUCCGGACGGAGUGAGUAUAAA
rnacentral:pre_miRNA from 1 species